UACGUAGGGGGCGAGCGUUGUCCGGAUUUAUUGGGCGUAAAGAGCGUGUAGGCGGCCAGGUAGGUCUGCUGUGAAAACUGGAGGCUUAACCUCCAGACGUCGACGGAAACCGCGUGGCUAGAGUCCGGAAGAGGAGAGUGGAAUUCCUGGUGUAGCGGUGAAAUGCGCAGAUAUCAGGAAGAACACCAAUGGCGAAGGCAGCUCUCUGGGACGGUACUGACGCUGAGACGCGAAAGCGUGGGGAGCGAACAGG
rnacentral:rRNA from 1 species